UACAGGGGGGGCAAGCGUUGUUCGGAAUUACUGGGCGUAAAGCGUGCGUAGACGGUUACAUAAGUCGGGUGUGAAAGCCCCGGGCUCAACCUGGGAAUUGCAUUCGAGACUGCGUAGCUAGGGUGCGGAAGAGGGAAGCGGAAUUUCCGGUGUAGCGGUGAAAUGCGUAGAUAUCGGAAGGAACACCAGUGGCGAAAGCGGCUUCCUGGUCCAGCACCGACGUUCAGGCACGAAAGCGUGGGGAGCAAACAGG
rnacentral:rRNA from 1 species